rnacentral:lncRNA from 1 species
UUGAUAUUGCACCAGUUUAUUUUGUGUCAUGACAGGAAUAAAAUGUAAAAAGAUACUAUUUUAAAAAUGUUCUGUAAUUUUGAAAGUAAAACUUCUUCAGUUAAAGUUUUUUGUUUUAAAUAACUUAUAAAAAGACACAUUCUAAGAAUUUUGCAUACAACCUAAGGUAAAGUGAUACAAGACCACCUAACAUAGCACAUAAGAUCAACAUAGUUGGGCAGUGAUUAUAAUUUUUACUGCAUAUGAAUAUCAAGAAAUGAUAUAUGUAGCAUGUAUUCUUCCAGUGAAAUAACCAAUUAACAGAUUCAGCAGAUUCAUUUUUUAGUAAGAUAUGUUUAUAUACCAGUAGAUGAAUUUAUCUUUGUUUCACAUAAAGAAAAACUUGGCAUGAGUACAGUUUCAUCCUGUCCAGAACUAUAGAAAAAAUCUCACAUAACCUUUCAUUGCAUAUAGGAAAAUAACCAUCCCUGGAAUUUUGCCAAUCAAAUUUUCCCCCUUAUUUAACCUGUGUACCAGCUUUAGUAACCAUGUUACCUCAAGUUUCAAAUAUAUUCUAUAGAAAUCCCAAAUAAAAAAAAUAACGGUACUUUGAAAUACCAAAGUUAAAUGUUAAUGAAAAAGAAAUGUUUUACUGCAAUAAAAUGUAGAUUUAUUACCUACAUCUGUCAAAUUCAAGGGAAUAUUUUUUCUACCUAUUUUCGUAUGCAACUGAAUGUGAAGUACUAUGAUUAGUGGUAUUACAGCAUAUAGGCAGCACUUAAUACUUUAUUUAUGAAGACGGCAAAAAGGAUGUUGAAGACCCCCCAACAUUAUUUUUAAAUCAUUCUUGUUCACAGCAAUAGCAUCAAUUCUUUACAAAUAUUCUGAGAAACCUAAUUUCUUGAAAUCACAACUAAAAGUGACUAAAAUAACUAAAAUGCAUUUUACAGAAUUUUGUUCAUGUGUUCUAUACAAGUAUACAUCUAUCUAAAGUAAUUAAUUGAGUGUAACUCUGGAUGAUAAAAUGCUACAUGUAUCCAUUUUUAUCAUUUUGAUGCAAUUCAACAAGUUCUAAAUGCAUAGAAAAAUACCAUGAAAAACUAUAAUAUAAUUCCUCAAUUUGGUAAAAUUAACAUAAAUCCAUUACCACAACGUUAAAUAGAGCAUUUUCAUUUAAUGAAUUGUGACAAACAUUUUUCAUACAUCUUGUUCAAGAUUACAUAUUUAGGCUCUUUGAGUUCAAAACUUUGCAAUAUCUAAUGUUUGCCUCCUUAAAUAUUGUUUUGGUUGAAGGUUAAUUAAAACCCCAUUAUAGUAUAAAUCUAGUAUCAUACCUGCUUAGUAUGUACCAUUACCAUAAAACAAGGAUGUAAUAAAAUACUAAUUUUAAAGCAGAAACAGUAGAUAUUAUAUAAUAGAUAUUUGUAUAUCAGCUUUAAAUUGACUAUCCACUUAAAUAAAAGUUGCUUGAUUAGAAACAACAUUGAACACUUAUUAUAAGAAGCCUAGAUUAAAAAGGAUGAUUUCUUCCAGUCUUGUUGAAAAUAUCCAGAUGCUAUUCCAACUAAUUAUCAUAUGUUGCCAUGGAUUAAUGAGAUGUUUUUGCUUAGAAUAAGUGGUAUAUAAAUGAAUCCGACAAUGUUUUAAAAGGCAAUCAUAAGGAACUGAAUCUGAUUAUUUGUAAAAAGUUGGUACAAUAUGUCAUUGAAAGGCAAUAACUUCAAUAAGGAGUUUACUGACCAAUUUCAGUCAUGUUUACUUAUUUGAAGAUCUUGUCUUGCUGACCAUUUUAUAUUAAAAGUUUCUGUCUAUCUCCUAUAAUUUUCAAGAUGAUAGGCAAAUAUGACAUAAAAUGAUAAGAUUUGCCAUUUAAGUAAGCGGAUUUCAAGAUAAUAGACAUUGUAACUUAAAAAAACAAACUUAUCCUCUAAAUAUAUUAGACCAAUUCUAACCUAACUUAGCCAAAAUCAGUAAUGGGAAAUCUAGUUGGAAAAAUGUAUCUAACCAACAUGGCUGUCAUGGCAAAAAAAUUAACACAUGGGUUAAAUGAAAGUUUCAUCUGGGUCAUCAGAUACAUUUUUCAAACUAGAUUCCCCAUCACUGAUUUUGGCUAAGUUAGGUUAUAAUUGGUGUAAUAUAUUUAGAGGAUAAGGUUUUUUUUUUAAAGCUACAACAACAGUCCCCACAUGCCAAGUCAUAAGAAAGCUAGGUGAUAUUGAAAAUUGUUGGAAUUUUCCAUCAAUAGUUAGAAUUUAAUUAAAGGUACACAAUGCUAAUAAUCUUGUUUAAUUACCAAAUAAAAA